rnacentral:lncRNA from 1 species
UAGCCAUAUGAUUCCUUUUCUUGUAAGCUGAGCAGCUUAGGAAAGAUUGGCCAUGUUGCUGUGCAAAAAGAGGUAAACUUAAUUUCUACUCAAAGCAUGCUUGAAUUUGAAACUAGGGCUUCCACUCUUCCAAAGCUGGACUGUCACUGCCUCGGGCAUGUGUCCCAAAGGGCUCCUGUCUCUGCUGUACUCAGGAUAAAGUUUAAGUGGAGCUCAGCAAGCCAGAUCUCCUUUACUUCUAGGUUCCCCUAACAGUUUCUCCUCUGCUUUAGAGACUGCAUUGAAAAUAUUCUUGUUCUGCUGUUGUGUUUUGGCUUUGGAAUGAUGUGAUGCAGCUCAAUGGGUCCUACCCCCAAGUUGAUCAGAGUAAGAAACAGCUGGG